rfam:Triticum aestivum genome assembly, contig: Triticum_aestivum_CS42_TGACv1_scaffold_210963_3AS
AUGGUACUCGCUCCGUUCGGAAUUACUUGUCUUGGAAAUGGAUGUAUCUAAAACUAAAAUACGUCUAGAUACGUUCAUUUCUGUGACAAGUAAUUCCGAACGAAGGGAGUAUAAU